rnacentral:rRNA from 1 species
AACGAACGCUGGCGGCAGGCCUAACACAUGCAAGUCGAGCGGGGGGGUAACCCCUAGCGGCGGACGGGUGAGUAACGCGUGGGAACGUGCCCUUUGCUUCGGAAUAGCCCCUGGAAACGGGGAGUAAUACCGGAUGUGCCCUACGGGGGAAAGAAUUUCGGCAAAGGAUCGGCCCGCGUUGGAUUAGGUAGUUGGUGGGGUAAUGGCCUACCAAGCCGACGAUCCAUAGCUGGUUUGAGAGGAUGAUCAGCCACACUGGGACUGAGACACGGCCCAGACUCCUACGGGAGGCAGCAGUGGGGAAUCUUAGACAAUGGGCGCAAGCCUGAUCUAGCCAUGCCGCGCGAGCGAUGAAGGCCUUAGGGGUUGUAAAGCUCUUUCGUGGGGGAAGAUAAUGACGGUACCCCAAGAAGAAGCCCCGGCUAACUCCGUGCCAGCAGCCGCGGUAAU